AGAGUUUGAUUAUGGCUCAGGAUGAACGCUGGCGGCGUGCCUAACACAUGCAAGUCGAACGAUGAAACCGCCCUCGGGCGGACAUGAAGUGGCGAACGGGUGAGUAACACGUGACCAACCUGCCCCCCUCUCCGGGACAACCUUGGGAAACCGAGGCUAAUACCGGAUACUCCCUCCCCUGCUCCUGCAGGGGUCGGGAAAGCCCAGGCGGAGGGGGAUGGGGUCGCGGCCCAUUAGGUAGUAGGCGGGGUAACGGCCCACCUAGCCCGCGAUGGGUAGCCGGGUUGAGAGACCGACCGGCCACAUUGGGACUGAGAUACGGCCCAG
rnacentral:rRNA from 1 species